CGAACGGGUGAGUAACGCGUGAGGAACCUGCCUCAAAGAGGGGGACAACAGUUGGAAACGACUGCUAAUACCGCAUAAGCCCACGGCUCGGCAUCGAGCAGAGGGAAAAGGAGUAAUCCGCUUUGAGAUGGCCUCGCGUCCGAUUAGCUAGUUGGUGAGGUAACGGUCCACCAAGGCGACGAUCGGUAGCCGGACUGAGAGGUUGAACGGCCACAUUGGGACUGAGACACGGCCCAG
rnacentral:rRNA from 1 species